UGCCAACUAGCUACCCCAACUAAAAUUUAUAUGUUUAUUAUGUUACAGGCAUUAUGUGAAGCAUUUUACAGUGAUUAUUUUAUUUGAUCCUCACAACAACUCUGGGAGGCAGAUGUAAUGACAAUCCCCAUUUUAUAGACAAGGAAACUGAGGCAGCCAGCAGGCCACUGGAAUGAAGCUAGUCCUCUGGAAUAUUGAUAUACAACAGGCAUCAAUAUGAAAUAGAUGAGUGUGAUGGAGACCACAUUUGAACUAGAAAUAUACAUUUCUAUUGCAUAUAGAUUACUAGUCUUCCCCUUGGCGUCUGGAGUAGAAAGCCGUGGACCAGACAGAAAAGAGCUGCCUUACCAUUCAAGAGGCUGUUCUCGUGAUCACUCUGGCCAGCCCAUGAGGAAAUGCCAGAUGAUAUUUCAAGAGAAGGCCUGAGUCAGGAUGCUUCCAGACCAAUAUAGCCAACUUAGGAGGUUCAGAUAAGUAUCUGAAUUCUGGGUGCUUAUCCAAAGUGCUUCUGAAGCCUGGAUAACUGGAGAUUUACUCAUCUGUACAAUAAUCCUCUGGUCUCUUAAGGACACUAAAAGACAUUAUAUAAGACUUCAUUUCUUCGAUGUUUCUCAAUUUUCUUGUUUGCUUGUCAUUGCAUCAGUAAAACUUCAUCAAUUCUUUUUUUUUACUUAAAACUUCAUUAAUUCUUGAUGAUUAAGGCAAAGGCCAGAAAAUUCAGGUUGCUCCUAUAUUCUUAAGGUUUUGUAGAAAAAUAUGAUCCCUGAGAGAGUCUAUGAAGCUGGAAAAAACUAUUCUUGACAUUGGGUGGUAGGACAAGACAGCCUAAAUGUAAGGAGGAAUCACAUUCUCUUUACUCUGUAUAAAUUUAUUGCUGUAGCUAGAUAGAUCGAUCAUUUAGUAAAAAAGAAAAGGAGAUUUACUUAAGCAUAAAAGGAUAUUCAACAAAACAUACCUUGACAAUGGCUCUGUUGAUUGAGUUGAAUCAGGAAAGUCUCUCGCCCUUGCCUUAGUUGAACAUCGUUUUCUACCAGUCAAGUGACCCUGAAGAGGACCUAGAGCUCCCCAUGGCUAUUUUUUACUCAGGGGAUGACUAAGUGGUGUCACAGCCUGAGAUUUUUGUCACCUGAGCUGAUCUUGUCUUAAGGAUGGCUUCAGCAUCAUUUACCUCCAUGGGGUGAGGGGCUUAGAUAUUAUUCCCACCAUACCUAUAGAUUAUAAGAUCCUUGAGGACAGAAGCUUUCAUUUUUGUCUCAGCCCCCAGCACAAUGCCUAACACUGGUCAGUACAUCUUAAAUACUUAAAAAAAACCCUCGCCUUUUGUCUUAGAAAAGAUACAAGGAUCGGUUCCAAGGCAGCAGAGUGGUAAGGAUUAGGCAAUUGCGGUUUAUUGAUUUUUCUAGGGUCUCACAACUAGGAAUUGUCCAAGACCAGAUUUGAACCCAGGUCCUCCUGACUCCAGGCCUGGCUCUCUAUCCACUGAGCCACCUUGCAGCCCCCAAUUUAUUGAAUGAUUUAAAAGUUCAUAUGUUUGAAGUACCUGAGGGAGACUGACAACUGUUUGCUCGGUUAUUAGUUCAAAUUGACUCCUUAUACUCUUAUUUAUACUAUUAAUUUGUUGUUCCUGACUCCCCACCCCAGAUAGCAUAGAGGUGAACCUCAACCAAGUUCCUGUCUGAAUUCCAUAGAAGAGGAGCAUAGCCUCUGUUUGGCAAAAGAGGGAACUGAGGUUCAAAAAGGGGGUAGAUUUCAUUAGUUCCAGGCCAUAUACCCCAGUCAGUGGUGGACCAAGGAAGGAAGCCUCCUGACAUCCCUUCCUUUUAUGGCCCACAUUGAGUCACCUCUUUUGUUUCAUCUUACUGACUUGUGGAUCAGAAAAACUCCAAGCAAUGAUCUAGAGGUUAGGGUGGGCUUUUGGUUUUAAAGCCAAUAUCUGAUGAGGACAAGAAGAGCCACUAGAAAAAAAUAAACUAAUAUUCUCUCUGGAUAUAUUAAAAAAA
ensembl:lncRNA